GAGGAAGCAGCUGUGACCGCGCCACUCACAGCGCCAGCGGCGGGCACCCCCUUAGGUGGGAGCGCGGCCGAGCACCCCCACAGCCCCCUGCCCAGCAAGUGCUCUGGACUCCGCCCUCAGGGAGCCCUGGGUGAGGAGGAGGGGAAAACAGGGCUAAAGGGAAAGCCGCUGGGUGCUGGGGUGAGGUUCAAGGCUGGGCCGGGGGUGCUGGGGUGAGGUUCAAGAAUGGAGAGAGGAAAUAAACAAGGGCAAAGCCAGGGAGCACCACACAAAACCUCACCCUCUUCCUCUGAGUUUGCAAUUUCAUUCAACACCCCAAAAAGGCCCACG